GCCCUUCAGGCCUAACACAUGCAAGUCGAGCGAAGGGAGUACUACGGUACGAACUUAGCGGCGGACGGGUGAGUAACGCGUGGACAAUCUACCCUGUAGACUGGGAUAACACCUCGAAAGGGGUGCUAAUACCGGAUAAUGUCGAGAAGCGGCAUCGCUUUUCGAAGAAAGGAGAGAAUCCGCUAUAGGAGGAGUCCGCGUCCCAUUAGCUAGUUGGUGAGGGUAACGGCCCACCAAGGCGACGAUGGGUAGCCGGCCUGAGAGGGUGAACGGCCACACUGGAACUGAGACACGGUCCAGACUCCUACGGGAGGCAGCAGUGGGGAAUAUUGUGCAAUGGGGGAAACCCUGACACAGCGACGCCGCGUGAGUGAAGAAGGCCUUCGGGUCGUAAAGCUCAAUAGUAUGGGAAGAAAGAAAUGACGGUACCAUACGAAAGCCCCGGCUAACUACGUGCCAGCAGCCGCGGUAAUAAGGGC
rnacentral:rRNA from 1 species